rnacentral:rRNA from 1 species
CAUGGUUAAGUGGGAAACGAUGUGGGAAGGCCCAGACAGCCAGGAUGUUGGCUUAGAAGCAGCCAUCAUUUAAAGAAAGCGUAAUAGCUCACUGGUCGAGUCGGCCUGCGCGGAAGAUGUAACGGGGCUAAACCAUGCACCGAAGCUGCGGCAGCGACACUAUGUGUUGUUGGGUAGGGGAGCGUUCUGUAAGCCUGUGAAGGUGGCCUGUGAGGGUUGCUGGAGGUAUCAGAAGUGCGAAUGCUGACAUAAGUAACGAUAAAGCGGGUGAAAAGCCCGCUCGCCGGAAGACCAAGGGUUCCUGUCCAACGUUAAUCGGGGCAGGGUGAGUCGACCCCUAAGGCGAGGCCGAAAGGCGUAGUCGAUGGGAAACAGGUUAAUAUUCCUGUACUUGGUGUUACUGCGAAGGGGGGACGGAGAAGGCUAUGUUGGCCGGGCGACGGUUGUCCCGGUUUAAGCGUGUAGGCUGGUUUUCCAGGCAAAUCCGGAAAACCAAGGCUGAGGCGUGAUGA